UUCUGUCUCCAGGCUAAUGGCUAAGUACUGAGGGCUUCAUCUAUCUAAAAGGAGUUAUUUCCAUCUGAAUUUGGCAGCACCGGGACACAGCAGCAGAGCGAGUCCACAUCCAGAAGACUGGAGCCGUGUUUCACUGACAGGCUGUCAGACUAACGCCCUGAUGAGCUCAGCUGGGACAAACUGGUCUGAUGUUUAGGAACACAGAACGUUCAGAUGUUGGCAUUUCACGUCACCUACUGAGGAAGGAGACCCACCAGUAAAGAGACGGUCUGGACCAGACCAAAAAUAUGGCGAUGACAUCAUGGAACUGGUCUUUGGAAAAGUUUUCCCUGAACCAACUCCGUUUCUAGAUGAGGACCAGUUUGAAGCCCACAUACUGCCCCUCCCUCAUCAUCAGGAAACAUCAAUCCGUAUCCUGAGGACAACAGAAGACGGCAGGAGGACAGGAACUCUGAGACCUAGACACCACCAGCACCGAGACACAAAGCACCUGUGUGCACAACGCCUGUUUUAACUACUAAAGCCUGUUUAUUAUAUUGUUCUACUUAUUUGCUGUGAGGUUAAUACUUAGAAAAUUUGUAUAUUAAUGUAAACAAUAAAAAAAAUCACUGAUUGUAUGCUUUCUUUUAGAUGUAAUGGUCCAAACUCAGCCUUGUAGACAUUUAUUGCAUCCUGUAGGUAAAUACACAGAACAGGCUCAGGUCCAGGAUGACCCAGCAUGCUCUUCUUCCAUUCUGGCUGUUAGGGAUUGUAUCAAUAACUCAAUGCCUACUGAUGUUUUCACCUAACGGUAUUUAUUUAGAAUGCAGGUAAGAUUUAACUAUAUUUGUUAGCAAAGCAGACUGAUCUUGGGAAUUUCACUGCAGCACUGAUGUCCACCUCUCUGUACACAUUAGAGAGAAUUACCACUUUACAGCUAAACACAUUUAAUAAAGAUAUAGGCUACGCAUUGCAGACAAUAAAAACAAAGUUGUAAGCAUUAGAAUUAUAAUGAUGACAUUAAAGAACACUUGGAGGAAUGUUCUUUAUUUUUGACUAGAAUCUCAAAUCUUUAAAUUAAAAUGUAACUGCUUUUUAUCCAUUUUCAGCCAUUAAGACACCCAAUAUAAAAUAAGACUACUUAUAAAAUUAUUUAUAAUUAUAUGUAUGUAUAUAGAUAGAGAUCUUAAUAAAAUAUAUUCUUUGAA